UCGACUGUACUCGAACGGGAUCACUUCUAUAGGAGAUCUGCACGUUCGCCGCUACAUCGACAGACAACACCGCAAGUCGCGAAGAUGAGUCGGGCGUCCUACCGAACUUGAAGGGAGGCCCCGGCCCGCAAGGGCAGGCGGCUUUGAUGAUCAGGGGAGAAGAGCGAAAGCUCCGAUUCCAUCGGUGUGGACGGGUCUGAGCGACG
rnacentral:snoRNA from 1 species